AUUCCGGUUGAUCCUGCCGGAGGCCACUGCUAUGGGGGUCCGACUAAGCCAUGCGAGUCGAGGGGGCGUCCCUUCUGGGACGCCACCGGCGGACGGCUCAGUAACACGUCGGUAACCUACCCUCGGGAGGGGGAUAACCCCGGGAAACUGGGGCUAAUCCCCCAUAGGCCUGGGGUACUGGAAGGUCCCCAGGCCGAAAGGGGACCGUUAGGUCCCGCCCGAGGAUGGGCCGGCGGCCGAUUAGGUAGUUGGUGGGGUAACGGCCCACCAAGCCGAAGAUCGGUACGGGCCGUGAGAGCGGGAGCCCGGAGAUGGACACUGAGACACGGGUCCAGGCCCUACGGGGCGCAGCAGGCGCGAAACCUCCGCAAUGCGGGAAACCGCGACGGGGGGACCCCCAGUGCCGUGCCUCUGGCACGGCUUUUCCGGAGUGUAAAAAGCUCCGGGAAUAAGGGCUGGGCAAGGCCGGUGGCAGCCGCCGCGGUAAUACCGGCGGCCCGAGUGGUGGCCACUAUUAUUGGGCCUAAAGCGGCCGUAGCCGGGCCCGUAAGUCCCUGGCGAAAUCCCACGGCUCAACCGUGGGGCUCGCUGGGGAUACUGCGGGCCUUGGGACCGGGAGAGGCCGGGGGUACCCCCGGGGUAGGGGUGAAAUCCUAUAAUCCCGGGGGGACCGCCAGUGGCGAAGGCGCCCGGCUGGAACGGGUCCGACGGUGAGGGCCGAAGGCCAGGGGAGCGAACCGGAUUAGAUACCCGGGUAGUCCUGGCUGUAAAGGAUGCGGGCUAGGUGUCGGGCGAGCUUCGAGCUCGCCCGGUGCCGUAGGGAAGCCGUUAAGCCCGCCGCCUGGGGAGUACGGCCGCAAGGCUGAAACUUAAAGGAAUUGGCGGGGGAGCACUACAAGG
rnacentral:rRNA from 1 species